rnacentral:lncRNA from 1 species
CACACUAGUUAUUUUCAAUUUUAUACCAAUUACUACCUUAACGCUUUGUAUAUUGAUGUUGAUUUUAUUUCUUGUUAGAUAAUUGUUAUUAAUCCAUUGUGCCAAUCAAGUUAUAGUGUUUAAGUAACAAUUUGUGAGAAGUCAACGCAUACAAAUAACCAAACCUAUCUUUUGAAGGAGAAAAUAGAAGUAACACCAAUUUUACAGCUCACAAUUAUUCUUUGUUCAGAUGAAUUGUUAUUAAAGUCAUUGAAAGUUAUACACAUAUUAUGUCUGAAAAGCAAAGAAUAGAUAAUCUCAAAAUAUGUUUCUACUAUUCUCUUUUUUAAAUAUACUGUACUAUUUGUUAAACCCUUUGUAUUGUUUCUUUUUGACAUUUUGUUUUAGAAAUUUGAAGAAACAUACAAAUUUCCUUCCCACAUCUUAUUACCGGCUGGCAUUACGGUUGAUACAAUAUAUCCCGAUUCAAAGGCAUUAAACACUAUCAUUUUUGCUACCGUGUACAGCAGAUUUUUGAUUGCCGUUGUUAUUCAAUAAAUUUUGACCUGCCUUAUUUGCUGCAUCUGCAGUGGCAAUAGUCGAUGAUAUGGAGUUCUUCUGAGUUUUUCCGAGGGUGGGUCGUUUUCAGCUGUCUCGUUUCAAUAGCAGUAUUAAUAUUCAGUAACAAAACUAUGAUGGGGACAUGUGGCAAGUAUUGUUAUAUAAACACUUAUAUUUAAUUGAAAAACUAGAUUUAUUUUCACAUGUCGGUUUUUUUUGCAACAAUUAUUCACAACUAUCACCAGGAGAUAUUAAAACUUUGUAGUUUAAAUAUAGUCUCUAUGCAACUAUCAUUUGCUUGAAGUAAUAUUUGGUUAUAACCUUUUUGAUUGACGACGUUCUAUAUGCAGGAAACGACGUGGACUUAAAUUUCAUCAUUCUAUCAUUGUUGUAUUAGUGCUUUUGAGAGAA